ACACGGGUGAACUAUUUCCAACCAGAGGAGUACCGUGCUAUGAUAAUGCCACAGGCUCUGUGAUCGAAGGAGAAUUGUUAGUACUUGCCACCUCAGAAGGUUCACUCGUCCUUGACCUUGAGGCUGAGUGCAAUGGUUUCCAGGCGUGUUAUGCAACUUACGACACUAAGGCUGCCCUCGCUCUCCAUGAGAGGAAUCUCGUGUCUUUAUGCAGCGUCCUUGACGAAACCAUUGUGUGUCUUGAGAACGCCGCCUGUGCCUGUGGGGAGAGCAACAACACCAAGCUGAUCGAGGACGUUUUGUACAACAACCAGGUGUAUACACAGACAUGUUCAAUUGUGAAGCCCGAUAUUCUUCCCAAGCAAGGCAUCCUGUGUUCAG